rnacentral:rRNA from 1 species
GCUAACGUCCGUCGUGAAGAGGGAAACAACCCAGACCGCCAGCUAAGGUCCCAAAGUCAUGGUUAAGUGGGAAACGAUGUGGGAAGGCCCAGACAGCCAGGAUGUUGGCUUAGAAGCAGCCAUCAUUUAAAGAAAGCGUAAUAGCUCACUGGUCGAGUCGGCCUGCGCGGAAGAUGUAACGGGGCUAAACCAUGCACCGAAGCUGCGGCAGCGACGCUGAUGCGUUGUUGGGUAGGGGAGCGUUCUGUAAGCCUGUGAAGGUGUGCUGUGAGGCAUGCUGGAGGUAUCAGAAGUGCGAAUGCUGACAUAAGUAACGAUAAAGCGGGUGAAAAGCCCGCUCGCCGGAAGACCAAGGGUUCCUGUCCAACGUUAAUCGGGGCAGGGUGAGUCGACCCCUAAGGCGAGGCCGAAAGGCGUAGUCGAUGGGAAACAGGUUAAUAUUCCUGUACUUGGUGUUACUGCGAAGGGGGGACGGAGAAGGCUAUGUUGGCCGGGCGACGGUUGUCCCGGUUUAAGCGUGUAGGCUGGUUUUCCAGGCAAAUCCGGAAAAUCAAGGCUGAGGCGUGAUGACGAGGCACUACGGUGCUGAAGCAACAAAUGCCCUGCUUCCAGGAAAAGCCUCUAAGCAUCAGGUAACAUCAAAUCGUACCCCAAACCGACACAGGUGGUCAGGUAGAGAAUACCAAGGCGCUUGAGAGAACUCGGGUGAAGGAACUAGGCAAAAUGGUGCCGUAACUUCGGGAGAAGG